rnacentral:tRNA from 1 species
UCCGUUGUGGUCUAGUGGUUAGGAUCUGCGGCUCUCACCCGCAAGACCCGGGUUAGGUUCCCGGCAACAGAA